UACGGAGGGUGCAAGCGUUGUCCGGAUUCACUGGGUUUAAAGGGUGCGUAGGUGGGUCUGUAAGUCAGUGGUGAAAUCUCCGUGCUUAACAUGGAAACUGCCAUUGAUACUAUAGGUCUUGAAUUUUCUGGAGGUAAGCGGAAUAUGUCAUGUAGCGGUGAAAUGCUUAGAUAUGACAUAGAACACCAAUUGCGAAGGCAGCUUACUACGGGAACAUUGACACUGAGGCACGAAAGCGUGGGGAUCAAACAGG
rnacentral:rRNA from 1 species